AGCGACACAGUGAGCACAGAGCGAACUAUUCUUUGGCCUUUUACGAAAGAAUACCGUGUGCUUGCUCAAUAAAGUGGCAUAUGCCUUUUGUGUAAAAACAAAAAAAAUGUAUUG